GAGGCAGUGGCGUGACGAGGCGGCUACGUUGUCCCAUGUGUAAGUGUUCUGUGGUUGUCCUCGAGGGAACCCCCGACGCCACCGUUGAGCACGGCGUCGACGCGCGACAGAGCCGCGCUUCCUUUGGCUGUGAGAAUGGCUGAAGGCUGGAUGGCCAGUGUUCCGAGUGGCUUUCCUUCCCAAGCUGCCUUGGGGGCAACCAAUGACUGCUCUCGGCAACUCCAUCUGAGGGUGCAGGCGGACACCCUGCAUGGUGAGACGAUGUUCGUGUGCGGCAGCACCCCACAGCUGGGAGAGUGGCACGUGUCACGUGCACUUGAAAUGCAUCUUGAGGACCCUGCAAUGAAAGUGUGGGGUGUGAAAGUGUCGGCACCGCUGCACAAGACGCUGGAGUUCCGUUACCUGAUAGGCAUCUUGCUGGAGAAUGGCAACGUCAUUGUGCGCAGAUGGGAGACAGUUAGGCAUCCACGUACAGUGAGCGCCAAUGAAUUGACUGUCGAUCGCAAUGCCGCCGUCGACAUGUUUGGCAACUACGAUGGUGAGGACAAAGUUGAACCUGGCUGGCUGACUUCAGAGUCCAUAGUCCACCUGAAGAUGUUUGACAACCCAAUUGUGCUGUGGAAGCGCAAGUACAAGUCGGUCCCCAUCUCUUACCACAUCACCCCGAUUGACCUCUCUGUUCGGAACAGUGAUGCAGGACCAGUAUGUGAAGAGAGUGACCAGCACAGCAAUAUCUCCGACUUUGAGUGCAUCAAGUGGCCCGUCAUUGAAAUAGCCGUUAUGAAAGAAGGUGAAUAUGAGUUCAAGAAACAGAAUCAGUUUGGAAACCUGUAUGUGCCUGAGGACUUUGUCAUCUUCCAGGCACAGGUUAUGGACUCGUCCAAUAUUGCAUACAUGGUGGACUUCUACAUGCAUCGGAGUACCGAUGAGGCGAGCAUUCCCGAGCACAUUGGUUUCAGCUACAUUCUGCCGGGGAACAUGAAGGAGACCUUUGGGACGUGCACUGUGCCCAUUACUGGCACCCGGCACCAGCCUGUUGGCCAGCUGAACGUGUCCUACCUGAUCAUCAGGCCUCUGGCCAAUUGUUCAUGCAACUGCCGAGAGACUUACUCAAAGUUCUGGAAGAAGACAAAUCGGAGUCUGGAUGUGGGGCACAGAGGUGCCGGCAAUGCACGCCGUACAGACAAGGUCGAAAAUGUGCUGGAGAACACUGUUGCUUCUUUCAACUAUGCGGCAAAGCAUGGUGCAGACAUGGUGGAACUGGAUGUGCAGCUCUCGAAGGACAAGGUUCCAGUCAUCUACCACGAUUACCACAUAUGCAUCUGCAUGAAGAAGCGCAAGUCUCCCCUGCAAGAGGAGGAAAAGCUUCAGCUGGCAGUGAAGGACCUGACAGUAGCACAGCUGCAGCGGCUCAAGUUGUCACCUUCGGUGCAUGACAGCCACCACUACGACUUUCGGGAAGAUGACCUUGAGGACAACCAGCCAUUCCCAACGUUGCAGCAUGUGCUCGAAGCAGUUGACCCCUCGGUUGGCUUUAAUGUUGAGAUAAAGUGUCCCAUGCAGUUUCGUGAUGGCACAUGGGAAAUGGACCUAAACUUUGACAUGAACCAGUACGUGGACAUCAUUCUGCGCACUUUGCUCGACUUCAGUGGGAAGCGCUACAUUAUUCUCUCCUGCUUCCACCCAGACAUCUGCACCAUGAUCCGGCUUAAACAGAACAAGUACCCACUUCUCUUCUUGACCCAGGGCCAGACAGAGAAGUACCCGCCCUACUUGGACACACGCACCUCUACGAUCCAAAUGGGCACCUACUUUGCCCUCUGCACCCACAUUUUGGGAGUCAAUGUGCACACGGAAGAGCUGCUGCGUGAGCCCAGUCUCAUCACUUUCGUGAAGGAGCACAAGCUGAUCCUUUUCUGCUGGGGCGAUGACAACAACCACAUCGACACCAUCGCUAGUCUAAAGCGCAAGGGCGUCGAUGGUGUGAUCUAUGACAAGCUGGACUUGUUUAUAACACGGGGUCCGGAGAACGAGAGUGUGUUCCACGUUCACCCUGGUUCAACGGCAAGUCUGCUCGAGGCGGCCAGCAGCAGCUGCUCCAGGGAGAACCUGCCCGAGAACGGUGUGUCUUCAGCUGCCUCUUCCUGCAGCGUGGGUGGCUCCUAGCCCCUUUUGCUCCGCUCAUUGAGUGUGCAGACAGGGGCUGAGGAGAGGAAGAACGAGUGGGUGGGGGAGCUUCUCGUCUUCCUUGCGCCGUCCUUCUCGUACUUCCGGCUGUCAUUGGCACUGGAGAAUUGCUUGCCUUCCUCUCGCUUUCUGAAUGUCGGGUGCCGCUUCGAAAACCUGAGUGCAAACGAGUCCUGGGUUCGUUAUCUUGUUUUCAUCUUUGUUGUUGAUCUGUACUCCUCAGAGACAGCAGUCUGUGAAGGCCAAUGGUGACUCUGCAAGUUGCUGAGAUUGCUUCCCUAGCAUGUGAUGAGCCAUUGAUAUUGUGCUAUUGGACGCAGCUCUGCUGGUUGGCAGACUGUUGGCUGAUAGUUCUGUGAGCAACACUGUUUAUACUUGUGUGUUAAUGACAUACUGUCAGUUGUGAGACAAAAAAGCGGCAUUAAAGGCUGGUAACAUUACAGGUCAUUGUUGAGGGGCGGUACUAUCAGCUAGAGUGCUGUCAAAUGUGUAGGGCUCCUUAAGAAUACAGGCUUUGUCAGUUAGGAUGCAUACAUUGUCCCACCUGUACGUCACCUAAUUCUAAUUCAUCACCAUCGGCGCAGCUUCCCGAUAAUAGUUGCUACCACCUGUUUCAGAAAAUUGUAUGCGUAAAAAACGCCUAAAAAAUGUGUAUAGAGCCUCUGUUAUGUAAAUUUUCUUGUAAAGUAACAUUUUGGCUACCCUCCUCCGCCUUUUUUUUUUGUUGGUGUAUUGACGCCAUCUCGUUGCACUUUUUUUAUCUAGGAAUCUUGUAAUGGUUGCUAUUAACCAAUUUUUGCAAUGAAACCCACUGUAUUCCCACAUUGACACAUGCUCAGUUAAAACGUGACACCAUUUAGUGCCUGCUUUGCCAUAGACUCUCAAUAAUUGUAGAGUUGAUAAAGGGUUUCGUGAGUAGUGAUGCAAUUCUUCUGGCCUGUCAACCUGCCUGCACGUUUGAGUGUAUAUGCACCGUUUUCUGCACUUGUGUGCUUUGGUAUUAAGUAUAUAUGCACAUUAUUUUCAGUAUUAAGUAUGAGACCUAGAUGGGUGAGGAAGAGGGACUCUUACGCUACUGCACAGGAAAAGACUACAUGCGUCCUCAGUGAAUGAUUCGGCUGUCUUCCAUUAUUCUCUUCCUGUCCAUAAUUACAAUAUGAGCAGCCAUGCACAGUGCCGUUAAUGUUUACUUCUUGAAGUGCCUGCUUGUGUGGAGGGUUCGUGGAGUUGGUACUAGAACCUCUAUGCAACUCGGCAUAGUUGUAUGGAAUUGCUCGUCCUUUUUAUCUUAUUUGCAUCAAACGCCCAUGUGCAAAGAUAACAUACUCUCACCAGUCCUGCAAUUGGGGAUAUGUUAAAUUCUGCAAGUGCUCUUCCCCGUAGAUUUCGUUUUAACCACAUUUGACGGGGACGUUAUACUAGAAGUGCAAAUAAGGAAAGAGCUAGCACCGCUGUUCAUGCCACCAUGCAAUGCACUCUUUGGGAGCUUACCCUCAGUUCAAUGGUGUGAGGAGCAGAAAGUCGGCUAUUUUGUGUUGCCCACCUUAGUGUGGGAAAGCCGACUUGCAAUAUUUCGCAAAUCCUUUAUUUCACACGUUUGGGAUGAUGCACUUGCUGUUCAUUGUCAUGUUUAAACAUGAAUCUGAUAGUUGUCAUAAAAGCUUCCCACGAGCAGAGUGUCCAUCACUGGCACAUGCUGGCAGUGUGUGCAGAGUAAAAAAGGUUAUGUUUUAGCUGAAAUGAUGGCUUGCCUACAGUAUGAGUCUUUUCAUAACGCUGUUACAGAUUUCUAUGACAGAUGGAUGCGAAUUUUGUGAACCUCGAGGCUGUACUUAAUACAGGCGUGAUGUGCUUAAAAGUAGCGGAGUGUGUUGUCUUGUUCCCAUGGAUGUUUUCUACCUAGGACAAUUAUUUCCAUAUUCAAGAUGCACAACUGCUGUGUUUGGAACUUGGUAGUUUUCCAACACUGCUUUUGGUCAUUGUUCCUUGCUUGGUUUGCCAACACACGUGGUAGAUUUGAAGUGUUACACCGGUAUACUUGAUUAGGUUAUUUAGGUGUUUCUUUUGUUUAUUCAUUUCUGUGUAAACUGAGCUACGGUUGUUUUGUCGUGUUUAUAAAAGUAUCC